UACAGCUACAGGUUACUACAGGAAGGCGUUGCUACAGCUACAGGUUACUACAGGAAGGGGUUACUACAGCUUCAGGUUACUACAGGAAAGGGUUACUACAGGAAGGGGUUACUACAGGUUACCACAGGAAGGCGUUACUACAGGAAGGCGUUACUACAGGAAGGCGUUACUACAGGAAGGCGUUACUACAGCUACAGGUUACUACAGGAAGGGGUUACUACAGGAAGGCGUUACUACAGGAAGGGGUUACUACAGCUUCAGGUUACUACAGGAAGGCGUUACUACAGGAAGGCGUUACUACAGGAAGGCGUUACUACAGGAAGGCGUUACUACAGGAAAGGGUUACUACAGGAAGGGGUUACUACAGGUUACCACAGGAAGGCGUUACUACAGGAAGGGGUUACUACAGGAAGGGGUUACUACAGGAAGGGGUUACUACAGGAAGGCGUUACUACAGGAAGGGGUUACUACAGGAAGGGGUUACUACAGGAAGGGGUUACUACAGCUACAGGUUACUACAGGAAGGCGUUACUACAGGAAGGGGUUACUACAGGUUACCACAGGAAGGCGUUACUACAGGAAGGCGUUACUACAGGUUACUACAGGAAGGGGUUACUACAGGAAGGCGUUACUACAGGAAGGCGUUACUACAGGAAGGCGUUACUACAGGAAGGCGUUACUACAGCUACAGGUUACUACAGGAAGGCGUUACUACAGGUUACUACAGGAAGGGGUUACUACAGGUUACCACAGGAAGGCGUUACUACAGGAAGGCGUUACUACAGGUUACUACAGGAAGGGGUUACUACAGGAAGGUGUUACUACAGGAAGGCGUUACUACAGGAAGGCGUUACUACAGGAAUGCGUUACUACAGCUACAGGUUACUACAGGAAGGCG